GCGGGUGUAGUUCAAUGGUAGAACUUCAGCCUUCCAAGCUGACUACGUGGGUUCGAUUCUCAUCACCCGCUCCA
rnacentral:tRNA from 2 species